UACAGAGGUCCCAAGCGUUGUUCGGAAUUAUUGGGCGUAAAGGGUGCGUAGGCGGCAGGGUAAGUUAGAUGUGAAAUACCGGGGCUUAACCUCGGAAUUGCAUUUAAGACUGCCUUGCUCGAGUUCUAGAGAGGAGACUGGAAUUUACGGUGUAGCAGUGAAAUGCGUAGAUAUCGUAAGGAAGACCAGUGGCGAAAGCGAGUCUCUGGCUAGAAACUGACGCUGAGGCACGAAAGCUGGGGGAGCAAACGGG
rnacentral:rRNA from 1 species